rnacentral:sRNA from 1 species
AGAACGGUUCUUGCCUUAAAUCAGGUUC